CGAGGCUCUCCGUCAGCCGAAGCUCGCCACCUUCGCUGCGAAUCAGGUUAUCGGCCGAGGCCUUGGCAGCCUUCGCCACGGCAUCCGUCAGGUCCUGCACCGGGAGUGACAGCGAGGGAGAGAUACGUCAGGAAAGAGUCGACGCGGAUGUCAUGUUUCCCUCAACAUGGGGGACACCCAAUCGGCCUGCGAUGAUUCUGAGCAGGAGACUGAAGAUGACCGUGACCUUUGACAUCCGUAGACGGAGAUGUAACAUCAGAACUGAUAUGCUCACUCUGUGGCGAACAACACCGGCUUCUAUCGUUACGUCGACGAAGCCGCGUUGUAAUCAUCAGUAAAUACACACAUUACUAUUCAGCUG